GAUGAAGAACGCAGCGAAAUGCGAUAAGUAAUGUGAAUUGCAGAAUUCAGUGAAUCAUCGAAUCUUUGAACGCACCUUGCACUCCUUGGUAUUCCGAGGAGUACGCCUGUUCGAGUGUUAUGAAGCUCUCAAAACGCAAUUGGCUUAAAACCUGAUUGUUGUUUUGGAUUUGAACUUUGCCGUGUUAUAACGGCUGGUUUUAAAAGUAUUAGCUGGUACUAGAACGAAUUGGUUCUACUCAACGUGAUAAUUAUCUGAUCGUUGAGGACAUUCCUUUCACGAGGAAUGGCCAUAGUAAAUUCAAUGGACUGCUUCUAAUCUGGCUUUAAUUCUUUAUUGGAUUAACCACUUUUCAAAUCUGACCUCGAAUCAGGUGGGACUACCCGCUGAACUUAAGCAUAUCAAUAAGCGGAGG
rnacentral:misc_RNA from 1 species